GACCAAGUCAUCUUCUCCUUCAGGCAAGAGGCUUCUAAACUGAGACUGGAGUUGACUGCUGAUGGAUCAUGAUUGAAUUCCCUCUGAGGAUGGCUCUCUGAAGAAGAUAACUGCCUUGCCCAAGGUCAUACCCCAAGGGGAGCCUGCAUCCAAGAAAACAUCAGUAGGGAAGAAUAAAGACGUAGCCAUCUUGGCAGAGCUGGGGACAAUUCUGAAGGGCCUUCCUGUCCCACAGCUCUCUUUGAGAUCAGCUGAUGCCUUUGUUGCAAUGCUUGCUGUUCAGCAUUUUCUUCUGUUCCUGCUCCUCUCAUUCCUUCAAAGAUAUCCCAGGAGCUCUCCAAUAAACUUAGUGCAUGCACAUCUCCACCUUGGAGUCUGGUUCCUGAACAACAGAAGCCAAGUCAAUGUUAAAAUAGUUAGAAGAUGAUCAGGCUGUUUCUGAAGCCGUCUGUCAGAAGUAUGGAAUAUAAUUCUAAAUGAGAAGGACAACUUUAACAGACCAUGGUACAAGUUUCUCCAGCUUCCUAUUGUAACGACAGCUAGAUGGACAACUUUCUAUAAACAUCUCUUAAAGACCAUGAAAGUUGGAAAGAAGGUGAGAGGAACUAAGAUGCUAUCAGGAUUUCGUGAACUUGCUGAGAUCCAAGUUCUAUCGUUUGGCAGCAACAUUUGCUUUGGAUAGUUGAUUGCAGCAGGACGGUGACCCAGGGCAAUGUUUCUCAGACAAGGGACACUCGCUAAAAAUUCGGAAUCCCAGACCCUCCUUAGGGGUCAGAAUCUGCAGGGCAGGGUCUGGUGAUCUGUACUUAGCAGUCAUUCCAGGACGUUCUUAUAAAUAGGGAAGACUGGGAAAAUUAAACUAUGACAAAAAGUCCAUCCAAUGCAGCUAUUGAGAGAAACUAUUUUUAUAGAAAUGAAAACAACAACAAAAUCUCUGCAUAGAGCCAUCUUUUGUUAUGAGCUGCCUUAGUCACAGUCUCGGAGGCCCAAACAACUACUUCUCCCAUGUUGGUUACCAAGAAAACCACACUAAUGAAAACAGUCAACAAAUUAGAUGUUCAGUCUUUCAAAGCACCAUUUGUUCAUGAUGGAAAUUAAAGCACCCUGGUGAUAGAGCAAUAGAAUCCCUUUGGAUUCUGGAAAGGCAGAUUACUUUGUGCCUUCCCUUUGUGUCCAGGAUUUGGGAUAGAUAAUGAUAAAGUAACUCGAGUCUUGGAAUCUGAAGAUAGGCAUGGCAAGGUCAUCUUCUCAGUGUUUCCUGAGGAUCCUGUAUUUCUUCCAGAUGACCGGUGUUCUUUCUUACUUUGUUCCCUGUAUUACAAAAGGCAUAGUCAAAUACUGGUUGAUGUACUACACACAUAGCCACAUGCUAAGCUAAUUCAGUGCUACAGAACAUUAUGGUAUUUUUAUUUGCAACCUAUCAGGAUAAAUUAUUUAGAUGUUAUUUCAAUAGUGUUAGGUCAGAAAUAUCUUUUCUCCUAUUCCUUUAAACUAUAACAAUUUUUUUAAUAUAACAAGUUGCUUUUCGUUAAAAGCAUGAAAAUAGUCAUUCAUGUAAUUCCUGUUGGGUUUGCUAGGAAGUUAGCAAUUUUAGACUCAAUAAUUAGAUUUAGCUACUCCACGUUUCAUGAGAAUAUUGGGACUAUCAGCAUUUCACCACUUUUAAAUAGUGAUAACCAAGAAGUCGGCAGAAAAUAAGCUUUAUUACAUCUAUGGUAAUGAGGCUUGCUGUUCAGAGUCUCUAAUAAUUCCUUUGGGUAUCCCAAGGAGUCAGAGCCAACGAAGGCAAAAGUAUGUCUUUUUGACAGUCUAAAGACUUUGCAGAUAUUGAUUUCCUAUCCUUUUGACACUCGUAUGGGGUUGAUGUUUCCUUCAUAAAUGUACUUGGUUUCCCUCAGGGUCACUCAGUGGGUUUCUCUGACAAAUUUACAGUUCUGGAUAGAUUUGUGAUCACAUGAUAAAGUCUUUGACAAGUUUCUUUCCCCCCCUCACCCAUGACUUGAAACCAUUCUUUGCUAAUUAAAAAGUUUCAGUCCGCUUACAAAGGCUUUAUGACCAAUUAAGGAAAUCUCUACUGAAAAACAUUUCAGAAGGUAUGCUACUUAGUUUGCACAGGAAAAACGUACACCGCUCACGUUGUUGCUCAGAACUUCAGAUAUAUAUAAUGGACAAUUUCACUAAGUAUUUG
ensembl:lncRNA novel transcript